UUCAAUCCAUUGCAAUUACAAUUGAGAGAGAGCUAGAACCACUUGAUGCUAGAGCUCCAUUGCAAUUACAAUUGAGAGAGAGCUAGAACCACUUGAUGCUAGAGCUCGAACCAGAUUAGUCGGUCUAUUGGACCGGCAACCAACACAUUGUGCUUGUGAGAUAAUGAAAAAGGAUAGUUUGCUGGAGACUGACUGCUACAUGUGAGAAAGGAACAAAACACCACAAGGAGAGGAAUCAAUUUCAUGCCAUACAUGUGCUAGACGAAUGCUACAAUCAUGAUAUAAGUUAAUUCAAAAAAUAUAUAAUUUUCUUCUUA